CUUGAAUAUCUAUAAGAGGUCCAGCCUGCCCAGUGACUUUGUUCAACGGCCGCGGUAUCCUAACCGUGCGAAGGUAGCGUAAUCACUUGUCUUUUAAAUGGGGACUUGUAUGAAUGGCAUCACGAGGGUUAUACUGUCUCCUUUUUCUAAUCAGUGAAACUAAUCUUCCCGUGAAGAAGCGGGAAUAAACAUAUAAGACGAGAAGACCCUAUGGAGCUUUAAACUCAAUAACAAAUACUAACCUUACAUCAACUUUCAGAAGAUCAACCUUAAUUUYAGUAUUAUGAUUAUUAGUUUUAGGUUGGGGUGACCGCGGAGUAAAAAUUAACCUCCACAUUGAACGGGACCUGUCCCUGAGCCAAGAACUACAGCUCGAAGCACCAACAAAUUGACAUUAAUUGACCCAAUAUUUUGAUCAACGAAC
rnacentral:rRNA from 1 species